rnacentral:rRNA from 1 species
GACGAACGCUGGCGGCGUGCCUAAUACAUGCAAGUCGAACGAGAGCGCCCGGUGCUUGCACUGGUCAAUCUAGUGGCGAACGGGUGAGUAACACGUGGGUAACCUGCCCAUCAGAGGGGGAUAACAUUCGGAAACGGAUGCUAAAACCGCAUAGGUCUUCGAACCGCAUGGUUUGAAGAGGAAAAGAGGCGCAAGCUUCUGCUGAUGGAUGGACCCGCGGUGCAUUAGCUAGUUGGUGAGGUAACGGCUCACCAAGGCUGUGAUGCAUAGCCGACCUGAGAGGGUGAUCGGCCACAUUGGGACUGAGACACGGCCCAAACUCCUACGGGAGGCAGCAGUAGGGAAUCUUCCGCAAUGGACGCAAGUCUGACGGAGCAACGCCGCGUGAGUGAAGAAGGUUUUCGGAUCGUAAAACUCUGUUGUUAGAGAAGAAUAAGUGCUAGAGUAACUGUUAGCGCCUUGACGGUAGCUAACCAGAAAGCCACGGCUAACUACGUG